rnacentral:rRNA from 1 species
CGGCGAGCGAAGCGGGAAGAGCUCAAAUUUAUAAUCUGGCACCUUCGGUGUCCGAGUUGUAAUCUCUAGAAAUGUUUUCCGCGUUGGACCGCACACAAGUCUGUUGGAAUACAGCGGCAUAGUGGUGAGACCCCCGUAUAUGGUGCGGACGCCCAGCGCUUUGUGAUACAUUUUCGAAGAGUCGAGUUGUUUGGGAAUGCAGCUCAAAUUGGGUGGUAAAUUCCAUCUAAAGCUAAAUAUUGGCGAGAGACCGAUAGCGAACAAGUACCGUGAGGGAAAGAUGAAAAGCACUUUGGAAAGAGAGUUAACAGUACGUGAAAUUGUUGGAAGGGAAACGCUUGAAGUCAGACUUGCUUGCCGAGCAAUCGGUUUGCAGGCCAGCAUCAGUUUUCCGGGAUGGAUAAUGGUAGAGAGAAGGUAGCAGUUUCGGCUGUGUUAUAGCUCUCUGCUGGAUACAUCUUGGGGGACUGAGGAACGCAGUGUGCCUUUGGCGGGGGUUUCGACCUCUUCACACUUAGGAUGCUGGUGGAAUGGCUUUAAACGACCCGUCUUGAA